rnacentral:tRNA from 1 species
GCCCCGGUAGCUCAGCUGGAUAGAGCACCAGAUUCCUAAUCUGGGGGUCACAGGUUCGAAUCCUGUCCGGGGCGCCA